ensembl:lncRNA
AUGCGGAGCUUGGGCCAGGACUGAUUGCCAGUAUGAUGGACCCACCACUGAUGUUGGUGCGAGCAGCUGGCAUCCCCAGGGCCUCAGCACUGGCUGUCACAGAAACUGUUUCCCUGACCUCAGUGCUUCCUGUUAUGGCAGUCGCCAUUUUGAAUGUGUGGGCUGCACACUGCGCUCCAGAGACCUUUCCUGUCCACGAGUCUGCUCCUGAGGCCUCUCCUGACAGUUAAUCCACUCCAGUGCCUCCAGAGGUGGCGGCGUCCACUACAGAACCUUCAGAGGUGGUGGCUUCCACAGCAGAACCCCCCAAAGGUGGUAGCACCCACAUUUGAACUCCCUGUCUGCCCUGUCACGGCCAAGGAGACCGUAUGUGAACUCUCUGCCUGUCCUGUGGCUAUUGUGGCCAUAUUUGAACUCUCUGAUUGUCCAGUCACGGCCAAGGAGGCUGUCUCAGAACUCUUUGCCUGCUCUACCAUGCUGAAUAAGCACUGUUUUGAACUUGUUGUCCCACCCAACCUCCCUCUCCCUCCUCCUCUACCUGUCAUGCUGUUCCUUCUGUCUCCACUUUUGUCUGUCUGUCCCUCAGGUCAUCCGUUGAGGGUGGUGAACCGUCAGGAUUCGCCUCGGGAUAGGCAGCCUCCAGCUACACCAGGAUUGGAGGAUCCCAGAUCUCCGUCUCUGGCCAUCGAGACCUGGACUCCACUUUGGUCACCCUGGUGUCGCCUUGGCUCAGAGCUCCAUCAUCUCCAUUGUGGCCCAUCAGUCCACUGGCUCCGCCAGGCUUCCUCGUUACUCCGGCUCCACUUUGGUCAUUCGUCAACCUGUCCUCGCCUCAGGACUACAAUCCUCCGGCUUCGCCUCGUCUCUCCAUCCCUCCGGCUCUGUUGGGCUCCUCUCUCCCUCCGGCUCCACCUUGGUUGCUCUGGCUCCACAGCGGCCUUCUGGAACCCCACCUUCGCUUUAGUCACCAGAGUCGUCGGCUCCACCAGGCCCUCUAAUCCCUCAGUGUCACCCUGGCUCUUCGGCUCUCCAUCUUCGCCUAGGGCUCCCCAUCCACCGGCUCCGUUUCUGUCAGUCGGACCCUUGAAACCUCCUGUUUCACUCCCCUUAUGGUUCCUCCCUCCAUC